UUGACGGGGCCGCACAAGCGGUGGAGCAUGUGGUUUAAUUCGACGCAACGCGAAGAACCUUACCAGGUCUUGACAUCCCGAUGCUAUUUCUAGAGAUAGAAAGUUACUUCGGUACAUCGGUGACAGGUGGUGCAUGGUUGUCGUCAGCUCGUGUCGUGAGAUGUUGGGUUAAGUCCCGCAACGAGCGCAACCCUUGUCAUUAGUUGCCAUCAUUUAGUUGGGCACUCUAAUGAGACUGCCGGUGACAAACCGGAGGAAGGUGGGGAUGACGUCAAGUCCUCAUGGCCCUUAUGGGUAGGGCUUCACACGUCAUACAAUGGUCGGUACAGAGGGUUGCCAAGCCGCGAGGUGGAGCCAAUCCCUUAAAGCCGAUCGUAGUCCGGAUCGUAGUCUGCAACUCGACUACGUGAAGUCGGAAUCGCUAGUAAUCGCAGAUCAGCAUGCUGCGGUGAAUACGUUCCCGGGUCUU
rnacentral:rRNA from 1 species